rnacentral:rRNA from 1 species
GACGAACGCUGGCGGCGUGCUUAACACAUGCAAGUCGAACGGUGAAGCGCCUUCCUUUUUGGUGGGUGUGGAUGAGUGGCGAACGGGUGAGUAACACGUGAGUAACCUGCUCCCUUCUUCUGGAUAACCGCAUGAAAGUGUGGCUAAUACGGGAUAUUCUGGGCCUGUUGCAUGAUGGGUCUGGGAAAGAUUUUGUUUCGGUGGGGGAUGGGCUCGCGGCCUAUCAGCUUGUUGGUGGGGUGAUGGCCUACCAAGGCGGUGACGGGUAGCCGGCCUGAGAGGGUGGACGAGCACAGUGCGACUGAGACACGGCCAAGACUCCUACGGGAGGCAGCAGUGAGGAAUAUUGCACAGGGGGCGCAAGGCUGAUGCAGCGACGCCGCGGGAGGGAUGGAGUCCUUCGGGUUAUGAACCUCUUUCGCCAGUGAAGCAGUCCUGCCUCGUUUGUGGGUGGGUUGACGGUAGCUGGAUAAGAAGCGCCGGCUAACUACGUG